rnacentral:rRNA from 1 species
GGGAUAUUGGGCAAUGGGGGUAACCCUUACCCAGCCAUGCCGCGUGAGGGAAUGAGGCCCUACGGGUCGUGAACCUCUUUUGCUCGGGGACAAGGACGGCGUCGCGCACGCCGUUUGAGGGUACCGAGGGAAUAAGCGUCGGCUAACUCCGUGCCAGCAGCCGCGGUAAUACGGAGGUGGCAAGCGUUAUCCGGAUUUAUUGGGCGUAAAGCGAGCGCAGGCGGUUUGAUAAGUCUGAUGUGAAAGCCUUUGGCUUAACCAAAGAAGUGCAUCGGAAACUGUCAGACUUGAGUGCAGAAGAGGACAGUGGAACUCCAUGUGUAGCGGUGGAAUGCGUAGAUAUAUGGAAGAACACCAGUGGCGAAGGCGGCUGUCUGGUCUGCAACUGACGCUGAGGCUCGAAAGCAUGGGUAGCGAACA